UACGGUCAAAUCACACUGAAAACACCGGUUCUCGUUCGAUCACCGAAGUUAAGCAUCGUAGAGCCAGGUCAGUACUUAGAUGGGGGACCGCUUGGGAACACCUGGUACUGUAAG
rnacentral:rRNA from 1 species